UAUUCUUCUUGUGCUUCUCCUGAUGAUAUUUGUUUAUUUCUUCUUGUUGUUUGUUAUUUCUUUCUCGUGCUUCGUAUAUAUGUUUUGAUAUCUGCUGAUGAAGGAGGUAUAUUUUCGUGUGCUGUAUAUAUAUAGCAGCAGCAGGCCUCAAAAGCUGGCUGGCCUUAUUCCCACAAAUUCCCACCUUCCUGUGAUGACCUAAAACGAAAGAUAACACAAAUGAAA
rnacentral:ribozyme from 14 species